CUGAUACUGAAGCGUCAAUGUCUUCUGUCUCCGAUGUGGUCUAAUGAGCACAAUGAUCUGAUAUGUCUUUUCUGCCUCAGCCACCAGAGCACCAUGUUUCCCUCACAAAUGUUUGCAUGUCAGGGCAUCAGUGAGUAAUAUAAAGGCAUUCAGGAUAGUGGAGCAAAUUCGAUCAGAAUCAAGUAAUGAUGAAUGGCUGCCAGAAAUAGGAGAAUCACCAAAUGCUAGCAGCAGUGAUAGUGGAGCUGAGGAUGCUGAGGAAGAGAGAGUCUGAGAAUUCCGACGUGAGUUUAAAUUUUUCUGCAUUGCAUUAAACAGUAUUAGAAUAUGUUAAAAUAUGUGACCACAUUAGUUUAACAGCAUUAAAAAUAUAGUUUUCACAUACUA